AGAGAGAGACAUGCGCGCAUAUCAAUAAGCGGAGGAAAAGAAACUAACAAGGAUUCCCCUAGUAACGGCGAGUGAAGCGGGAAGAGCUCAAAUUUGAAAUCUUAAAGGGUUUCCCUUUACGAAUUGUAGUUUAAAGAAGUGUUUUCUGUUGAGGUUUUGGUAAAAGUUCUUUGGAAUAGGACAUCAUAGAGGGUGAGAAUCCCGUAUUUGACCAUUACUUUCCAGCUUUGUGAUACACUUUCAAAGAGUCGGAUUGUUUGGGAAUGCAGUCCAAAAUGGGUGGUAAAUUUCAUCUAAAGCUAAAUAUUGGCGAGAGACCGAUAGCGAACAAGUACCGUGAGGGAGAGAUGAAAAGAACUUUGAAAGGAGAGUUAAACAGUACGUGAAAUUGUCAAAAGGGAAGCGUUUGACACCAGUGUUGUUUUUCUGAAAAUCAAUUAAAGAACUGUUUAUGCUAAGUUGUUUAGACUUUAUCAGCUAAUCUGUUUAGUUUUGAGCUUUUCUUUAAUGCACUUUUCAGUUAACAAGUCAACAUCAAUUUCUUUUGCUGUAAAAAAGCUUGAGGAAGGUGGCUUGAGAUUCGUCUUAAGUGUUUAUAGCCUCUUGCCUAUGCAGUCGGAGAGAUUGAGGUCUGCAGCGUAGAUCCUUCGGGGCUAAAUGCAUUUGUGCUAAGUUAUAGCAUUUUAUAGACAACUUGUUGACUAUGAUUUGUCUUGUAGCUUACUCGCUUAUGUUAUUUUACCUACGCUUAGGAUGUUGAGCGCAUGUCUCUCUCU
rnacentral:rRNA from 1 species